UCCUAUUUCUAACUGAGUAAUUUUAUUUACUAAUAAAAAUACCCAUGCUAGAACUAGUAAUGAGUAAACUUCUCUGAGCACACCCCUAAGCCAGUAUUGAAAAACUUCUGGCAAUUAACAGACCACAAAAGGAUUGACACGCACAGCUAGCCGCUCUGUCUCACUCACCUGUUACUCCGACACAGGGGUGCAUAAAAGAAAGGCUAAAACCUGCAAAAGGAACUCGGCAACAAUAUAGUCCCAACUGUUUACCAAAAACAUAGCCUUUAGCCUAACAAGUAUUAAAGGUCCCGCCUGCCCAGUGACUAUUUAACGGCCGCGGUAUCCUAACCGUGCAAAGGUAGCAUAACCACUUGUCCUCUAAAUAAGGACUAGAAUGAACGGCUAAAUGAGGACUAAACUGUCUCUUGCAGAAGGCCAAUGAAACUGAUCUUUCAGUCCAAAAGCUGAAAUAUUAGCACAAGACGAGAAGACCCUGUGGAGCUUAAAACCUUACCCACUAAUCAUGUUCUUCUUUGGUUUUUAGUUGGGGCGACUUCGGAGCAAAAAACAACCUCCGAUAAAUUGUAUUAAGAUCUACACAUCAAAAUAGCCGAUAUGACCCAGUAGUUUAUAACCAAACUAUCUGAUCAAUGAACCAAGUUACCCCAGGGAUAACAGCGCUAUCCCCUUCUAGAGUCCCUAUCGACAAGGGGGCUUACGACCUCGAUGUUGGAUCAGGAGACCCUAAUAGU
rnacentral:rRNA from 1 species